rnacentral:rRNA from 1 species
CCUACGGGGGGCUGCAGUGGGGAAUAUUGGACAAUGGGGGGCAACCCUGAUCCAGCCAUGCCGCGUGUGUGAAGAAGGCCCUCGGGUUGUAAAGCACUUUCAGUGAGGAAGAACGCCUGGUGGUUAAUACCCAUCAGGAAAGACAUCACUCACAGAAGAAGCACCGGCUAACUCCGUGCCAGCAGCCGCGGUAAUACGGAGGGUGCGAGCGUUAAUCGGAAUUACUGGGCGUAAAGCGCGCGUAGGUGGCUUGAUAAGCCGGUUGUGAAAGCCCCGGGCUCAACCUGGGAACGGCAUCCGGAACUGUCAAGCUAGAGUGCAGGAGAGGAAGGUAGAAUUCCCGGUGUAGCGGUGAAAUGCGUAGAGAUCGGGAGGAAUACCAGUGGCGAAGGCGGCCUUCUGGACUGACACUGACACUGAGGUGCGAAAGCGUGGGUAGCAAACAGGAUUAGAUACCCUAGUAGUC